AACUGAACCUUAUAAACUCAUCCGUCGUUAUGAGGUGACUACAAUCUUGAUUUUAUUUGGCCUUCCUCGAUUGCUCAACAAUCGAUGGAGAUCAUUUGGUGCAUGGAGAUGCAAUAUGGGAGUAGGAGAUAGGAGUUGGAAAAUGUUUUGGAGGACAAAGGUAGCUGUUAUUUGCCUAUUGUGUUUUGGUACUUCUGGAUGGAAGAAGGAUGUCGUUAGUUUUCGGUAUAUAACAGUAGAUAUUAUAAAUAGUCCCUAGAUUAAGGUUUUUGUCUUUGAAACUUGAUGUUAUGUUCGGGCAUUUUUGGCUUUUGUUUUGCGUAUUGACGAAGAUUAAGGUUAAGAUACCAUGUUUUGAUUAUGUGAAAUGGUUCUAAAUUAAUGUUAUGCUAUUGCCUUUGAGUUUGAUGAAUAAA